rnacentral:rRNA from 1 species
CCUACGGGAGGCAGCAGUGAGGAAUAUUGGUCAAUGGCCGCAGGGCUGAACCAGCCAAGUCGCGUGAGGGAUGACGGUCCUAUGGAUUGUAAACCUCUUUUGUCAGGGAGCAAAGGGCGCCACGUGUGGCGCUUUGCGAGUACCUGAAGAAAAAGCAUCGGCUAACUCCGUGCCAGCAGCCGCGGUAAUACGGAGGAUGCGAGCGUUAUCCGGAUUUAUUGGGUUUAAAGGGUGCGCAGGCGGAAUGUCAAGUCAGCGGUAAAAUUUCGGGGCUCAACCCCGUCGUGCCGUUGAUACUGGCGUUCUUGAGUGAGCGAGAAGUAUGCGGAAUGCGUGGUGUAGCGGUGAAAUGCAUAGAUAUCACGCAGAACUCCGAUUGCGAAGGCAGCAUACCGGCGCUCAACUGACGCUCAUGCACGAAAGCGUGGGUAUCGAACAGGAUUAGAUACCCCAGUAGUC